GCUGGGCAUGGUGGCCCAUGCCUGUAAUCCCAGCUACUUGGGAGGCUGAGGCAGGAGAAUUGCUUGAACCUGGGAGGUGGAGGUUGCAGUGAGCCGAGAUAGCGCCAUUGCACUCUAGCCUGGGCAACAGAGCAAGACUCUGUCUCAA
rnacentral:SRP_RNA from 1 species